CAGCUAACCAAUGCUAAUCAUGUGACGCUUGUUGAGAGUGCAUGUUCAUUCUGCAGACUGUUGGUAAAGGACCAAAAAACAACAACAAACAAACACAAAGCAAGGAAGGAAGGCUUGAGAGCAGAAACUUUCAUUAUUUCCAUGCAUGGAAACUGAAAUGAUGACGGACCUUGUGUAGAGAUCCAGACAUUUUGUUCCCAAGGUGAUGUGAAAUUGUGCAAAGUGUUGUGUAUGUCUUCCGCCUUCACUCUACUAGACCACUACUGCAUGGAUCUUCAUUAUCUUCAAUUAGUACCGGAACUGUGAUGACUCUGAGGAAAUAUUCACCAUGGUUAUGGUUGAAUCCUAAUUACAACAUAGCAAUUGCUGUCUUGUGUGAAGUCUGCAUGUAUGUUUUUGUAAGAAAGUAACAAAGUGUGUCAAGGUGGAAGCUGUGCAUCUGGACAGGAUGAGAGUGGUUGUUUUCCAAUGGCUGUAAGCAUGAAAUCACCUGGCCUUGUGCGGAAGACAUCUAUGAAUCGAUCAACCAGAUGUAUACCUCUAAAGAACUGUGAUGACACUGAGGAAAUAUUCUACAAUCUUCACCAUGGUUACCGUUGAAUAGGGAUUCUCACAUAGCAAUUGCUGUACAGUGUAAUGCCAGCAUGUAUGUUUUUCUAAGCAAGCGACAGUGUGUCAAGGCAGAAGCUGUGCAUCUGGACAGGAUGAGAGUGGUUGUUUUCCAAUGGCUGUAAGCAUGAAAUCACCUGGCCUUGUGCGGAAGACAUCUAUGAAUCGAUCAACCAGAUGUAUACCUCUAAAGAACUGUGAUGACACUGAGAAAAUAUUCUGCAAUCUUCAGCAUGGUUACCGUUGAAUAGGGAUUCUCACAUAGCAAUUGCUGUACAGUGUAAUGCCAGCAUGUAUGUUUUUCUAAGCAAGCGACAGUGUGUCAAGGCAGAAGCUGUGCAUCUGGACAGGAUGAGAGUGGUUGUUUUCCAAUGGCUGUAAGCAUGAAAUCACCUGGCCUUGUGCGGAAGACAUCUAUGAAUCGAUCAACCAGAUGUCCUGAAAAUCCCCAUGGUUGUGGGUGGUGCAGACAGAAUGUGAGCCAGGAAGUACAUCUGUAAAAGUCCAGACAUUCCGUAUAGACCCAACAGUGAAAAUGAAGAUCACAAUUUGACACAAAAGAUGUUGAAUUCCAUGCGAUACAUGGAGAAAUCAGCACAAUCAGAUAGUGUGUACAAGAGAUCUAUAUGAGGAUGAUAGCGAAGAUAAUACAACAAUUCAGCAAAUCAUAUCAAUCCAACUGAAGGACAAAGUAUCCAUUGAUGCAGUUGCAUCUUAGCUAAGAAGUUAACUUGGAUCUGCUUCACAGGGAGUCAUUGAUGAUCAGCUGAGUAGUAGGAUACAAUUUUCUGGUCAGAUGAAAUCGCUUCAUCUGAUCUGGCUGGAAUUUAAAGAGCUAAGACUACCAUCAGGAAAAUCUACCAUGUAAUAACACACUAACCCAGAACAUUGCUACUGAGUGUACCACACAGUAAUGCUGAGUUGGAAAUUGCUAUGGAGUCUACCACACAGUAAUGCUGACUAGGAAAUUGCUAUUGAGUCUACCACACAGUAAUACGAACCAAGAGCAUUGUUACUAUGUCUUCUAUACAGUAACACUAAUUCAGAACAUUGCUACUGAGUCUCCCACACAGUAAUGUGGACAAGGACAUUGCUAUUAUGGGUUUCCAUGCAGUAACACUGACUUGAGUAGUCCACACAGGAAAAACACACAGUAACAUUGACUUGGGAUGUUGCUACCUAGUAUUCCACACUGUAAUAUUGACCCCAAAGUGUAGCUUUUUUAUGAAAAAUUCAGACAGAUAACUGGUUACCUGUCAAUAGGUGCAAUAAAGUCUUUAUCCGUUUAUGUUAACACUCCUGAUACUGAAGGCUGGACUCAGCAGAACACCGGAAAAAAGCAGAGAUAAACAUGCAACUCACUGUGCGACAUUAGUGCAAAAUGUUUUGUAGUGCAACUUUUUUUUAAAUGUGACUGUGAUAUAUAGACAUUAAAAUUAUUUUACGUAACAUUCAAGUAAUGGUCAAAGGUGGUAGUGAAAACUCACUGAAUGUGAUAUGAAAGUUUAGAUGACUGAGAAAGAAAGACAGUUAUACCUACUGGUUAAAAAUCUAUAAGAUUAUAUAUUAAAAUAAUGUUUAAAAAUGACAGUCGGUACAGUAAAAUGUGAAUAUGUGUUUUGAUUGAUAAUGUCAAAUAAUAAAGUGUAACUCAUUGUUC
rnacentral:lncRNA from 1 species